rnacentral:misc_RNA from 1 species
UUGUGGAGGAGGACGCCGAAGGUGGGGCUAAUGACUGGGGUGAAGUCGUAACAAGGUAGCCGUACCGGAAGGUGCGGCUGGAUCACCUCCUAACAGGGAGACAACAAAAUGUUUAAUAUUAUUAUUUUGUCACCUUAGGUCGAUCGGUAUCUCACGUUCUUAAUUUAUUAAGAAUUUCAUUUCCUAAGUUUUUUCUAGGUCACACCCAUUAUUUUUCCUGGGCCAUUAGCUCAGGUGGUUAGAGCGCACCCCUGAUAAGGGUGAGGUCCCUGGUUCAAGUCCAGGAUGGCCCAUAUCUCUAUGUUGGGGGUAUAGCUCAGUUGGUAGAGCGCCUGCUUUGCAAGCAGGAUGUCAGCGGUUCGAGUCCGCUUACCUCCACUGAUUACCACCUCUUACAUAAUCUUUGAGAAGGAAAUGUUUUGAGUAGUGAUCAAAUUCUGAACGAAUCUAGCUUCCUAAUGAAAGCAUUAAGAUGCUGGACUCAUUGAAUUAAUUUCAUUGUUUUCAGAGAACCUUGACAACUGCAUAGAUUAUUUUUAAAGACAAUAAGCAUCUUUAAUGAUGCAGAUUUAUUAUUUGUGCGAAUGCAUUAAUAACAAUUCUAUUAAGCUGAUGCUUCAAUUAUGAAGUUAUUGGUCAAGCUACAA